GAAUUUCAGUAGAGACUGAAAUAGUGAAAGAAAAUGGAGAGUUGUUGCUUGAUUGAAGCUCCCUGUUGAUCCGAGCUAAGAAACAUCUGGGAAAGAAGCUUGGAGCUUGAGGAAUUGUAGCUGAGGAAGACCUUGAAGCAGAAUUUUUGGUUGUUGAAGCUGAAUUCCUUGUUGCUGGAGCAGGGAACCAAUUGGAGAAAUUUCGAAAUUAAGCUCUGAAAUUUAGGCUGAUUGAAGUUGUCGAGGUGGAAAUCAGCUGGUGGAGUUUGAGAAUUAAGAUUUGGAGCUGCCAAGUGAAGUUGAUCCAUUGGUGCAGCCUUUGCUGUCCGAAUUGUGAAGUAUGGCUGAAGUUGAUACUUUGAGUGAGUUUCUUGAUGCUUCAAGCUGAAAUAAAGGUUGUAGAAAUUAACCAUAACUCAGCUGAGUUUUGAGACAACACACUUGUUCAAGCUCUAAUUGAGGCUUAGUUACUUAAUUUAUGUGAAAUGCUAAUUAGAAGUGGAAGUAAGGGAAAGUUGAUGUGCUGAAAUUACAGCUUUGGUGAAGAUUUUCCUGGUGUUCCGAGUUGAAAGGGAGCUUUAAGAAGCUGAGAAUAAUGUAGUGAAGCUUCCAAUUCGGGAAUCACGCCCAAGAGUCUAAGUUGACGUUCCGACAGGUCGGCGACGCGCUAAUUACGGUAGAGACCGUUCUAGUUCGAUUGGCACUGAGUCGCGAGUACUAGUUGUCGACGCAUUUCGAGACAUUGAUCUCAGUUGAUUG